AUUGAACGCUAGCGGCAUGCCUUACACAUGCAAGUCGAACGGAGUGGCGAACGGGUGAGUAAUGUAUCGGAACGUGCCCAGUAGCGGGGGAUAACUACGCGAAAGCGUAGCUAAUACCGCAUACUAUUGGAGCGGCCGACAUCGGAUUAGCCAGUUGGUGGGGUAACGGCUAACCAAGGCGAAGAUCCGUAGCUCGUUUGGGAGGACGACCAGACACACGGGUACGGGGACACGGCCCAGACUCCUCCGGGAGGAAGCAUGGGGGAAUUGUGGACAAUGGGGGAAACCCUGAUCCAGCCAUCCCGCGUGUGCGAUGAAGGCCUACGGGUUGUAAAGCACUUUUGGCAGGAAAGCGGUACCUGCAGAAGAAGCACCGGCUAACUACGUGCCAGCCGCCGCGGUAAUUC
rnacentral:rRNA from 1 species